UCGAGGAAAAGCGAGGCUAGUUGAGUAGCCAAAACGAUCGUACGAAAUUAUCGAGAGUUGGACUUUGAACUAAGAUUCUAGAUGCAAGAACGAAUUGGAUAAAUGAAUGGAAAUCACAUUCGAUUCUUGAAAUCAGUUGAAAGCUCGGGAAUCGUCAGCAUCUCGUCACACUAUCGACUAAUUUGGUAUUU